rnacentral:rRNA from 1 species
AGCGAACGCUGGCGGCAGGCUUAACACAUGCAAGUCGAACGGGCGUAGCAAUACGUCAGUGGCAGACGGGUGAGUAACGCGUGGGAACCUGCCCAUCAGUGGGGGAUAACCGAGGGAAACCUCGGCUAAUACCGCAUACGCCGGUUAUCCUGAGAGGGAUGAUCGGGAAAGAUUUAUCGCUGAUGGAGGGGCCCGCGUCGGAUUAGCUUGUUGGUGGGGUAACGGCCUACCAAGGCGAUGAUCCGUAGCUGGUCUGAGAGGACGACCAGCCGGACU